AGUGAACGCUGGCGGUAGGCCUAACACAUGCAAGUCGAACGGCAGCACAGUAAGAGCUUGCUCUUACGGGUGGCGAGUGGCGGACGGGUGAGGAAUACAUCGGAAUCUACUUUUUCGUGGGGGAUAACGUAGGGAAACUUACGCUAAUACCGCAUAUGACCUACGGGUGAAAGUAGGGGAACUUCGGACCUUGCGCGAUUGAAUGAGCCGAUGCCGGAUGAGCUAGUUGGCGGGGUAAAGGCCCACCAAGGCGACGAUCCGUAGCUGGUCUGAGAGGAUGAUCAGCCACACUGGAACUGAGACACGGUCCAGACUCCUACGGGAGGCAGCAGUGGGGAAUAUUGGACAAUGGGCGCAAGCCUGAUCCAGCCAUACCGCGUGGGUGAAGAAGGCCUUCGGGUUGUAAAGCCCUUUUGUUGGGAAAGAAAAGCAGCAGGUUAAUACCCCGCUGUUCUGACGGUACCCAAAGAAUAAGCACCGGCUAACUUCGUG
rnacentral:rRNA from 1 species